UCUCCUGUAGCUCAGUGGUAGAGCAUCCUACUGGUGUGCGAAGGUCAUAAGUUUGACUCCUGUUGGGGGGAA